AAGAAGAAUUUGGGAAUGAAGCGUUCUUGUAAAUGGCUUGCCAGUAGGCUCCAAGCAGAGUCUGCCCGCCCCACGGGCCCCAUUUGAAUCAAAGGGGCUGUUUCCACUGACGGCAGAGGAGCAUGAUGAUGACCCUGAUCCAGAACAGCUGGCUUUGCUGGGCAGACUACUGGGCCAAUUUUUCAUCUGUGUUACAGGAGAGUUAAAUGGAAAGGAAGUUCCAGCCAAAGGACGGGAUUAUGAUUUGUAUUUACAGCUCUUGCUUGAUAGAAGGGGUUGAGCUAGCUGCAGUUUUUAGUGGAUUUAUCAUUUCAGAUACUUGUGCCUGCAUUUAGAGCCUGUAGUUUGGGAGUUUAGAUGGAAGGCGUCUUUGAUGCCUUUCCCCUCUCUGGCUGGACACAGACCUUGAACUUCAAGCAACAUCAGCUUUUUCAAACCAUCCACCUCCGUAUCUUGCCAACAUGUCCCACGUUCUCAGUAUCUUGCCAGCGUGUCCAGGUUCCCUUAGCUUCAUCUCAUUCUGUCUUGCUGUGUUUCAUUGCUGUGGAUUUUGCGCAGAGGCAGACACCACUCUUUCGGUGAGGUUCAUGUACUGAUCAUACAGUUCUGCACUGGAACGAGCAGAUGCUAGCAUUUCUUUUUCUAUCAUUGGCUUGGCUAUAUGAAGCAAAAAGCACUGAGUGUUUUCCAACACAUUUCUUUGGGAUUUAAAUUCCACAACUGAAGAAAUUAAUAUAAGACAUGGCUACAAAGUCUUGUGCUUUCCAAAAAGCAUUCUGCAAGGACAGAGUAUUAGAUAACAAGUUGCAGUAAACUUAUGUGGAGGAUGUUUAGCUUGCUUCUGGAUGAACUUUACAGCUGCUGUGUAUUUUGGCGCAUUACUAAAACAUACAUAAGAAAGAGAGACUAAUGGAAUGUAGUCUGAUUUACUGUAUUUCAUUGUACAUUUUUGUUUCUAGAAGAGAGUUGACUGUUCAUAAAAAAAACAUCUCUUACUCUGCAAGAUCUACGGUCAUAUUGGCACAAGGGCAUAUUGAAUAUCUGCUUUCUACUAAUCCUCUUUAUACUUUUACUGACAGGGCAAAAAUGAGGUAGUAAGUUGGUUUUACUGUGACAGUUAUUAUCGGAAUCAAAUCAAGGGUGCACAAAUAGUGGUUACUAACAUAAUACAUAGCAGGUGCUUGCAUCCUAACUUUCCUUUUAAUGGCAUCCAAGAACAUAGCUUCAGAUUCAGAUGCACUUCAGUUACAGAAUAAACAUUCUUAUUCUCUCUGAAGAACUAAAGGCCUAUCCCUUUGAGAAAAUGCUUAAGAUCUUAGAGGAAAAAGCUUUAAAAUGAUAAUGAAGAGAAGGACUGACUUUAAAAUGAUUUUGUAUAGAGGUAGGAAAUAACCAUUAGCCAUCCUCUCCAAAAUUUUGUGCAUGCUUAGUGCAAACUAUAGAAUUGUUUUUCUUCAGUUUCAAAUUGAAUAAAAUUCCUGGUGAAGUCAGUUAAUAAGCACCACAGCGUCAGAUCCAAAGAACCAAAUGUAAAUAUUAUUUCUUCCUGUCCAGGUCAGAGUAUUUUACUUUUAAGACAAGCUUCAUUUUUAUUCAUAAAAUUCCCCAAGGAAAAUCCUUCCAAGCACACGUUCAGCUAUUUGAUUCAGAGGGAAACAUCAGGCAUAGCUUCGAGGUGACGCACAUUUCCCGCGCCAGCUUCCUGCAAGCCUCUCGGUGCAUGUUACAGCACAUCCCAGCCUUGCUCUGUUAACCACACAGAUAACAAGAACAUAGGACCUAUCUGAAAUGUGAAUAAUUUAUCACAAAUUCCAGACUCUCACUGAACUGUUUGCCACCCAGCAAGGCACUCAAGCAUGUGCUCAGUGGGAAGAUUUUUCUAAAUUGUGAUUAACCGCUUAAUUAAAGCCUGAAAGUCCUUUCCCGGACAAGUAGUGGUACCGUUGAGUUCAAGUGUCAGAUCUGGCUGGCUCUGACCAGGUGCCUGUCAUCACUUCCAGAUUUCUGGCUUUUAAACCAAAUUCUUAGAGCGCUGCCAGUGCACUGCAGCAUGUCACAGCUGGAAAUGGUCCAACAGCAAUUUAGUUUUAAGCAUAACAAAGGCAGGAAGAGGGAGCAUAGGCACCGCAUAUUCCUGAGCUUGCCAAAACAUGCUUCCAGAGAUGUGCUGCUGAAGAACAGGGGAGUCUUGCAGACACUGCGCCAUCUUCUCAUGCAUUAAUUUAAUCAGCUUUGGAAAGAACCAAGGCCUUAUCGUAUUCAAGUAGGAAAAACCUAAAAAUGCUGCUUCCAUCAUACCUAUGAAGAAAGUGAAUAAGCUUCCUGUUACUACUGCUACUAUAUGCCUUACAGUGGCCUGUGUAGAAAUACCUAAAACGCAGCUGGAUGUCGAUAGGUCCGGUGACAUGGUGUUACACCGAAAGGAGCUUUAGACUACCCAAGAUGCUGGCAGGAUUCUUAGCUUCUUUCAUAAAGGAGAGUAAGCUAAAGUUAUGCUCAGAUAUCCUUAGGAUUCAGCAAUCAACAAUCCAAAGCAAGGCAAGCCUGAAAAGAAGGAUCGUCCUUAAUCCACUGUUUAUGACUGCGCAUUGCUAGAGACACAGGAGCGCUCUUUAUUUUGCAUUAAAAAAGAAACGGUUUUCAA